AAACUAACAAGGAUUCCCCUAGUAACGGCGAGUGAAGUGGGAAAAGCUCAACUUUGAAAUCUGGUACUUUCAGUAUCCGAAUUGUAGUCUCAAGAAGUGUUUUCUGUGCCGGUCCAUGUAUGAGUCUGUUGGAACACAGCGUCAUAGAGGGUGACAACCCCGUUCAUGACAUGGAUCCCGGUGCUUUGUGAUACACUCUCGAAGAGUCGAGUUGUUUGGGAAUGCAGCUCAAAUUGGGUGGUAAAUUCCAUCUAAAGCUAAAUAUUGGCGAGAGACCGAUAGCAAACAAGUACCGUGAGGGAAAGAUGAAAAGCACUUUGGAAAGAGAGUUAACAGUACGUGAAAUUGUUGAAAGGGAAACGAUUGAAGUCAGACGUGCGUGAUGCGGUUCAGCUUUAGUUCGCUAGAGUGUACUCCGUAUCUUUGCAGGCCAACAUCGGUUUUGUUAGUCGGAUAAAGGUUUGAGAAAUGUGGCACCUUCGGGUGUGUUAUAGUCUCAGACUGAAUACGAUUGAUGGGACCGAGGAACGCAGCGCGCCGCAAGGCAAAGGUUCCGACCUUUUCGCGCUUAGGAUGUUGGUGAAAUGGCUUUAAACGAC
rnacentral:rRNA from 1 species